rnacentral:rRNA from 1 species
CUGGCGGCGUGCUUAACACAUGCAAGUCGAACGAAGCAUCCCUCCCGAAGAAGCGGAAGUGCUUGCACAGAAGUGGAUUCAUUUGGGAUGACUUAGUGGCGGACGGGUGAGUAACGCGUGGGCAACCUGCCCUAUAGAGGGGGACAACAGUUAGAAAUGACUGCUAAUACCGCAUAGUAAUGCAGAUCCGCAUGCUUCUGCAUUGAAAGCUUUUGCGCUAUAGGAUGGGCCCGCGUUUGAUUAGCUAGUUGGUGAGGUAACGGCCCACCAAGGCGACGAUCAAUAGCCGGCUUGAGAGAGUGAACGACCACAUUGGGACUGAGACACGGCCCAAACUCCUACGGGAGGCAGCAGUGGGGAAUAUUGCACAAUGGGGGAAACCCUGAUGCAGCGAACCGCCGCGUGAGUGAAGAAGUAUUUCGGUAUGUAAAGCUCUAUCAGCAGGAAAGAUAAUGACGGUACCUGACUAAGAAGCCCCGGCUAACUACGUGCCAGCAGCAGC